AUUGAACGCUGGCGGCAGGCCUAACACAUGCAACUCGAACGGAGUGGCGGACGGGUGAGUAAUGUCUGGGACUCUGCCUGGUAGUGGGGGAUAACGUCCGGAAACGGGCGCUAAUACCGCAUACUAUCAGAUGAGCCUAGGUCGGAUUAGCUAGUUGGUGGGGUAAAGGCCUACCAAGGCGACGAUCCGUAACUGGUCUGAGAGGAUGAUCAGUCAACCUGGAACGGAGACAGGGUCCAGACUCCUACGGGAGGCAGCGUGGGGGAAUAUUGGACAAGGGGCGAAAGCCUGAUCCAGCCAUGCCGCGUGUGUGAAGAAGGUCUUCGGAUUGUAAAGCACUUUAAGUUGGGAGGCGUUACCAACAGAAUAAGCACCGGCUAACUUCGUGCCAGCAGCCGCGGUAAAC
rnacentral:rRNA from 1 species